rnacentral:rRNA from 1 species
GACGAACGCUGGCGGCGUGCUUAACACAUGCAAGUCGAACGAAAAGAGGGAAAGAGCUUGCUCUUUCCGGAAUUGAGUGGCAAACGGGUGAGUAACACGUAAACAACCUGCCUUCAGGAUGGGGACAACAGACGGAAACGACUGCUAAUACCGAAUAAGUUCCAAGGGCCGCAUGGCCCAUGGAAGAAAAGGUGGCCUCUACCUGUAAGCUAUCGCCUGAAGAGGGGUUUGCGUCUGAUUAGCUGGUUGGAGGGGUAACGGCCCACCAAGGCGACGAUCAGUAGCCGGUCUGAGAGGAUGAACGGCCACACUGGAACUGAGACACGGUCCAGACUCCUACGGGAGGCAGCAGUGGGGAAUCUUCCGCAAUAGGCGAAAGCCUGACGGAGCAACGCCGCGUGAGUGAUGACGGCCUUCGGGUUGUAAAACUCUGUGAUCCGGGACGAAAAGGCAGAGUGCGAAGAACAAACUGCAUUGACGGUACCGGAAAAGCAAGCCACGGCUAACUACGUG